AAAUGCACAAAUUCAGAGGACCCG
rnacentral:miRNA from 1 species